UCCAGUUCGCCGAACCGGACGGUCGCCCAGCAUCGCGCAGGAAAAUAGCAGUAAGCAGGGGUAAGUGCCUACCGUAGAAGUAGAUAUUUCGCAGGCAUUGCGCAGAAAAGGCAUCACACUUCGGUGUGAUACCAGUGCUCGCAAUGACUGCCAUAGAAUGGGGUACUUCGCAGGCAUUGCGCAGAAAAGGCAUCACGCUUUGGUGAUGCCAGUGCUCGCAAUGACUCUGCCGUAGAAUGGGGUACUUCGCAGGCAUUGCGUAGAAAAGGCAUCACGCUUCGGUGAUGCCAGUGCUCGCAAUGACUGCCGUAUACCAUAGAAUGAGGCACUUCGCAGGCAUUGCGUAGAAAAGGCAUCACGCUUUGGUGAUGCCAGUGCUCUCAAUGACUCUGCCGUUUUGUUAGGUCGGUAUCGGUUCGCGCAAAGGCUCGACCGUUACUAUGAGGGGCACAGCUGCUCUGCUUCGAACAGCGUCAGUACCACUGCUUACGUACCGUAGGGCACCGUUAUUAAAAACUAACGUGACUAACAGGCGACACGUAAGUGGAGUACAGUGAGAGUUGAUAGCUGGAGGCCAACGAAGACGGUUGGCUAUUAAUAAAAUCUCUCCUACACAGAGGAGUCCGUCGUAUACAUCACCGUGCCAGCUUCAACAAGCGUCAACGCCUGGCUCAUCAAUUCCGUUCGUUUUCAUCACCGUGCCAGCUUCAACAAGCGUCAACGCCUGGCUCAUCAAUUCCGUUCCGUAUUGGCAUUUCUGAACGUUCUGUUUGUUAUGCAAUCGUCAUGAUGCGCGCCAUGAUGCAUUUACGAACAUAGCCAUUAUUGACAGCAAUCUUGACGCCAUCGACUCCAAUAUUAUGGUCAAGUCUCAAAUACCCGAUGUGUGGAAAUGCGGAAGAGUGGUCUCACUACUGAAACCUGGGAAACCCGCUAACAAAGGGGAGUCCUAUCGUCCGAUAACUCUCACCAGGAGCCCUAUUCUGUAUCUCGAUUCGUAAAUGUUAUCGUAUGUCAUAAUUAUGCGAAAGUUGUAGCCCCUGUGCCAGAAUAAAUACGUACAAUUUUCGGCAGUUCCUGCAGUCACCUGUUUGGAGCGGAAUUGCCUCCUAGGAACAACAAGAGAUCAUUAAAGACAAUACACCGACCUGACUUCGGACGCAACUCGCUCCUAUAUAGACCUCGACAUAUCCAAUAUACACAAGAAUGAUAGAAACAAGAUUGCGCAAUGCGCAUGUUUGCUUUCAGUCAGCUGUUCUUGCUGACUUCAAGGUUGACUUAUUAUUCGCCCGUGCUUUUUGUUGGGUGCAAAAAUAAUAAUGGUAAAAAUUGUGCUACGAAAUGGAGAUUUUUUCAUUUCCCUAAAGAUAAAACAGUGGUAAAACAAUGGAUAAUUUUUGUCGUCGUACAGACAAAAUUAAUGCAACUUGCAGUUUGAAAUGGGUUUAAGUUCGCGGAAUCCAACUAAGUUACUGCCUAGCGCUUUUCCCACGUUAACCACUGCUCCUGCAGAGGCUACUGAACAGCAGAAAAGGAUGGAGUCUCGUUCCAAAAAAGAGAUGUUAACAACAAUGUUGAAGAAUACUGCCCCUGUUGAAGUAAUUCAAGAAGACGAGGGUGGAGAGGCACCUCAAACUACAGGAGAGGAGGUCAUCGAUGAGAAAGACGAGAAAAUACUGCAUUUGGAAACAGAAAUGUUAGUCUUACAUACAUAAGUAUGUGUAUUUCUUAUUCUUUUUAGACAAAGGCUGAAUAGUGUUGUUAGAACUUUGAAUAAGUGCAAAAACGAGCAAUCAGCAGAAAUUAAACGCCUUAGGAUUUCCAUUAAAACCUCGGAAUUCCACAGAAAUAAUUUGGAGCAAAAACUUAGCUGCAUUUUCAUCAACGGCCAGGUAAUAUUUUUCAACGUGUGUCAGUUGAUCUAAAUUCCACUGACCCAAUUGAAAAAAAUGAUGACUUGGAGAUUCUCAACAACGACGGACUUUAGAAUUUGGCAGGGUACAUCUGCCACAAACUCGGUAAAGACAACCUCGAAAUUUGUGAAAAUUCAGAAAAUUGUUCGUCUUAUACUUGGGUGGAUCACCUUUCUGAAGGAGGACUCUCAAAACCAACAGAUGUGUUAAUGGAGCAUAUGAGAGCCUUGCAAGCAGUAUUUGACGAUGUAAAUGGUACUGAUUUACAUAUAUGUACAAAUUACGCCCAGAAGCACUUAGAUUUACGUAAUUUUGUAAAUUGUAGCUCGAAAGUAAAAUAAUUGUUUUUCAGAGCUAGAAUGUAGAUUAGGAUUCGUUCCUUAAGGGGCUAUACCAGUGUGACACUUUCAAAAAUUUUUUUUUUUUUUUUUUUGCUUUUUCUAUAGUUUAUAUAUAUAAAAAUAUCCUGUGAAAUCGGCAAGGUCGUAUCUUGAAUAGUUUUUGAAUGGCAGCGUUCUAAACAGCGACCGCUCAGAGGAGCAAGCAUAUACUUACAUAUAAGUGAAACUUUAAACGCGUUAUUCUCGAAACAAAAUUUUUCAAAAUUGCUGACAUCAUAACUCAACGAGAAAUUGGCCGAUUAACUUCAAAUUAAAACUGGGUAUAGUUGAAUACAUUUGCCAUACAACGGACUACGAUCUUUUUGAUUGGUUGAAAAUUGUCAAUUUGGCAUUAAAAAACCGACCAUUGUUUUCGUAAAAAAAACGAUUUUUUUUUUCAAAAUUACGACAUUUUCUUGCCAACAGUCUUUGAAUCAUGCCAACAGUUGAGGCAUCUUUUUUUCGGCACUUCCGCAGACAGCACAUAAUUCCGUUAUUUUUCAAUAUAUUUGUAAAAAAAAAUUUUAAUAUAGCUCAAAAAUAUUUUUUUUCGUUCAUAGAACGUCGAAACAUUCAAUCUAGUACUUUCUUUUAAAAAAAUUCACGAAAAUCGCCUAAUUUUUCAUGCGUCACACUGGUAUAGCCCCUUAAAUAAAAACUUAAUUGAACAUAUGUAUAGCAAAAAAAGAAAAUUAAAUAAGACAAUAAAUUGAUACUUGGUCGCAAAA